rnacentral:rRNA from 1 species
AGAGCGAACGCUGGCGGCAGGCCUAACACAUGCAAGUCGAGCGCCCGUAGCAAUACGGGAGCGGCAGACGGGAUAGUAACACGUGGGAACGCGCCCUUCGGUUCGGAAUAACUCAGGGAAACUUGAGCUAAUACCGGAUACGCCCUUACGGGGAAAGAUUUAUUGCCGAAGGAACGGCCCGCGUCCGAUUAGCUAGUUGGUGAGGUAAUGGCUCACCAAGGCGACGAUCGGUAGCUGGUCUGAGAGGAUGACCAGCAUCACUGGGACUGAGACACGGCCCAGACUCCUACGGGAGGCAGCAGUGGGGAAUAUUGGACAAUGGGCGCAAGCCUGAUCCAGCCAUGCCGCGUGAGUGAUGAAGGCCUUAGGGUUGUAAAGCUCUUUCGCCAGGGACGAUAAUGACGGUACCUGGAGAAGAACGCCCGGCCAACUUCGCGCCAGCAGCCGC